GAUGAACGCUGGCUACAGGCUUAACACAUGCAAGUCGCGGGGAAACGGCAUUAUGUGCUUGCACAUUCUGGACGUCGACCGGCGCACGGGUGAGUAUCGCGUAUCCAACCUGCCCCUUACUUGGGGAUACCCCGUCGAAAGACGGCCUAAUACCCGAUGUGUUUCAUUGACGGCAUCCGAUAUGAAACAAAGGUUUUUCCGGUAAGGGAUGGGGAUGCGUCUGAUUAGCUAGUUGGCGGGGCAACGGCCCACCAAGGCGACGAUCAGUAGGGGUUCUGAGAGGAAGGUCCCCCACAUUGGAACUGAGACACGGUCCAAACUCCUACGGGAGGCAGCAGUGAGGAAUAUUGGUCAAUGGACGCAAGUCUGAACCAGCCAAGUAGCGUGCAGGAUGACGGCCCUAUGGGUUGUAAACUGCUUUUAUGUGGGAAUAAAGUGGCGCACGUGUGCGCCAUUGCAUGUACCUCAUGAAUAAGGACCGGCUAAUUCCGUGCCAGCAGCCGCGGUAAUACGGAAGGUCCGGGCGUUAUCCGGAUUUAUUGGGUUUAAAGGGAGUGUAGGCGGUCUGUUAAGCGUGUUGUGAAAUUUAGGUGCUCAACAUUUAACUUGCAGCGCGAACUGUCAGACUUGAGUACACGCAGCGCAGGCGGAAUUCAUGGUGUAGCGGUGAAAUGCUUAGAUAUCAUGAGGAACUCCGAUCGCGAAGGCAGCCUGCGGGAGUGUUACUGACNNAUUAAGCUCGAAGGUGCGGGUAUCGAACAGG
rnacentral:rRNA from 1 species